UUGGUUCAUGCACCUGAAAAGCUGACCCGGAAGUUAUGCUUAGAGAAGAAAAAGAGGGAAGAGCCUCUUAGGUAACUUGAAGAGCAUCAAGGAUCCAAUGAUAAAAACCACUGCCCUGAAGUGAUGUGUGCUACUUUCAGCUGAGGAUUCAACUGCUGACAUGACACCCUCGAGAUCUCUCUUUUUCUCCUCUGCCAUCACAUCCCAAAAUUCUCCAGAGUGGAUGCUUCAUCAGCGUGGGUUUGGAGCUAAGAUGAUGAUGAUACUGAGAAGAGCCUGGGGCAGACUCGCUAUGAAAAAUAAACUUUUAUUGUUUUAAGCCACUGAAGAAAACAGAAAACACUGCCCUGAACUUUCCAAGGUGUAAUAAAUCUCUCUGCAUAAGACUCUGCAGUCAUUGCCAAGGCAGAUCCUGAACUGAGAGCCACGUGGAAAGAGGACUGGAAUGGAAAUCAGACUCGGGGUCGUGCUUGGGUUUCUUCCAGAUGACCCCACCCGUCAGCCAUCUGGUCUCAGAUUCCACAUAUGAGUGAGAUCAUAUGAUAUUCAUCAUUCUGUGUCUGACUUUCUGCAACAUGGAUUGACCUAGAGAUUAUCAUACUAAGUGAAGGGGAAUACAUGGCUUUCUCCUCACUUCUUUGCAUUUUUCCAGUGCCUUUGAAAGUACCACCAGAAUGAUGGCUGCAUUUUCAGUGGUGGAAAUUAUUGCUAUGUCUCAGAAGCAAGGAAUCACAGGAUGUCUACUUUCCAGUGGGCAAGAAAAAAAAAUUCAACUAAAUGCCUGUUUGUUAGCCCAGCAUUGGAAGGGAGCAGCCUUAAAGAAUAAUUGGUCGCUCCUAAGAAACCAUUAAUAUAACAAAAGCUGUCAAAAGAUAUGAAGGAAGAAAGGAUGGUACUUUCUGAUUAUGAGGUAUGAAUUUAUUUUUGCAUGAACACUUGACCACUGGGGAACUGUGCCUUCCUGUGAAAUGCAUGCUCCAGCCAUGCCAUUGGCUCUGGUGACCCACAGAGAGGGUAAUCCAAUUAUCCAGGUGGGGUGACUGGCGGGCGGAAGGUGGAAUCAUCUGAAGGGCACUCACUCGCGUGUCUGGUGGUUGAUGCUGACUGUUGGCUGGGACCAACAUGGGGCCGUGGCUGGAACACAUACGUGUGGCCCUUCAUACGGCUGCUCAUCUUCCCCACAGUGUGGUGGCUGGGUUCCAGAGGUGAUCGCAAAGCAUUGCCCAGGUGCCGAGAGAGGAAAACUGGACUCUAUCUCUUGAUGGACUCAAGACAACCAUAAGACAUUUCGUUUUAGCUCAGUCAACAUUUUAUUCUUCAGAAAUUUGUUAAAGACUUGAAACUUUUUCCAGUCUGUUCUCUCCCACCACUACAGCGCCAAAGUAACAAAAGGAGCAAGGCUCCUCUAGCUGGAACUCAUGAAGUAAAUGAAGAACUACAAACAAUUUUUUAUGGUUAGAGGAUAUGAAUGGGGCAUGCCUCAUAAAAGUGGAAAUUUUUGUAUAGAGCCACAAAGGAUACCUAAGAUUUCUACAGAUAGAGGAAACAGAAUAAACAAAGGCACAGACGCUUGAACUUGCCUGGCACAUUCAAGGAUGUAGAAUCAAGGAGGUGUGGAAAGUGCAUGCGUGGAGGAUGGAUGACUUUCUUUGAUUUUGCCAAAAGGAGAGAAUGAGAACUUGAUAAAUAAGGCAGAAGAGGAAUUGCUUUGACUGGAGAUUUCGAAACCAUCUCUCCUCUUCCCCUGCAUUUUGAAUGGGGCUCCGUGAACAUCUGGAAGCUGGAAGUUAUUACAGAAGAUUGAGCAGAGUCCCCUGUGCUGUACAGCAGUGUGUAUACGCUCUGUCCCUCUGUCUCCUGCAUACCCGCUGCCACUGUCCAGACUUCCCACAUCCUUCUCCAGGACACUUCAGGUUUUGCCCGCACAGCAUGCAGGAUCUUUUUGGGAUCUUAGCUCCCCGACCAAGGAUGGAACCCGCACUCCCUGUAAUGGAAGCACAGAGUCUUAACCACUGGAUUGCCAGGGAAGUCCCUCUCGUCCCUUCUUUAUUUGGAAUAACAAUAUGAAAAUUCACUUCACAGGGACUAAGUGAACUUAUUAAUAAACCAGUUAGUUGGAUUAAAUCAACUCAUGAAUGAGAAGACAUUUUGCUAAGUGUAAAAUGCAUUACAGAUACAAGGGAUUAAAUGUAAGGGAUUGCUUACAUUAAUCAGUUUCUAAUGUAUUAAACAUACAGCCGUCAGUAAUUGUGAUUUUGGUUAAGUCCCUGUUACAUGUCAAACUUGCAAAACAAGUGUCUUCUUAUCCCGUAUACUUUUGAAUAAUGAUUUUAAUUAUUCUUUUUAAUAAAAGUACUGUGUUCACUGUAACUAAUCCAAAUGAUAUAAAAUGAAAAUGGAAAAGUCUACUUUUUCACCUCAAACUCCACAAGUAUAAGCCCCAGAAAUAAGCAGUUAGCAUUAGUUAUUUUUAGUUACUACUGUUACUACUCAUAAUAGCUAACAUAAUGAUAGUUUAGUACUUCACUGUGAGUCUGAUGUUGUUAGAAGCACUUCAUAUAUGAACUUAUUUUGGUGCUUACAAUAACCCUAUGGCUUAAAUAUUACUGUUAUCCUCAUACGUGAGCAAACUGAGGCACAGAGCUGGGAAGCUAUCUGCCUGGUGUCACACAGGCAUUUGGGCUCAGGCAGACUGGCUCCCAAGUUCACGCUCUCAGUCACUAUAAGCAGUGUAUCUCGGACACCUUUCCAUUUGCGUAUACAGAGAUCUACUGCGUAAUUUUAGUACCUACAGAACACUCCAUUGUGUGAUGGCGCUUAUCAGCUCCCAAUUGAUGAGAAUUUUUAUUCUCUUCCACAUUUUUCAUUAUGAGAAAUAAACUGCUAAAAAUUAAAAAUUGACCUGCCAUGGACAACCUCAUACUUCUGUGUGAGUGAGUGUGCCUUGGCAUAUACUUCUAGAAGUGAGCAGCUGAAACAAAGGACGUGUACACUAAACUUUUUGAGCACCCCCACCACGUUGCCUUCUGUAAUGAUUACUGAUUUUCACCUGGAGUCUACCAACCACCAGCAUCACUGAACGAACUGGUUAUUUUUAUGUGCUACUGUUUUUUUCUCUACAUCUCAUUGCUCUGCUGUUUGACAAGGAAUUUUACCAUAUGGUAAACACAGCAUUUGGGGAAAGCUCCUCCUAGGCCUGUGGGGUGAUGUCUCUGCUCCUGGGCAUAAGGUGAGCAGGAAUCCAGGGACCUUCCUGCUUGUGCUGCCUGAUACCUGAGGCUCUGGAGCAAUUACUGUGUGACUGUUCACCUUGGCUCAGCCUGAGAGCUACUGUGACAGAUUUAGGGGCUCUGAAACAUUUAUCCAAGCAGAGCCUCUAAACCAAUAUACAUUUUCACUCACAUGCACCCUAGGGAGAGAAGGAGAACUCUAGGGCGUGAAACUCCACAGAAAUGUAGUCUACCCCGCACUUCACCCUUGGAAACUUCUUGAGAAAUGAAAUUCAUUUCUUCCAAUCCCAGGUCUGUCUUUUUUUAACCAGUU